AUUGAACGCUGGCGGCAGGCCUAACACAUGCAAGUCGAGCGGAUGAGAGGAGCUUGCUUCUCGAUUCAGCGGCGGACGGGUGAGUAAUGCCUAGGAAUCUGCCUGGUAGUGGGGGACAACGUAUCGAAAGGAACGCUAAUACCGCAUACGUCCUACGGGUGAACGCAGGGGACCUUCGGGCCUUGCGCUAUCAGAUGAGCCUAGGUCGGAUUAGCUAGUUGGUGAGGUAAGGGCUCACCAAGGCGACGAUCCGUAACUGGUCUGAGAGGAUGAUCAGUCACACUGGAACUGAGACACGGUCCAGACUCCUACGGGAGGCAGCAGUGGGGAAUAUUGGACAAUGGGCGAAAGCCGGAUCCAGCCAUGCCGCGUGUGUGAAGAAGGUCUUCGGAUUGUAAAGCACUUUAAGUUGGGAGGAAGGGUUGUAGAUUAAUACUCUGCAAUUUUGACGUUACCGACAGAAUAAGCACCGGCUAACUCUGUGCCAGCCGCCGCGGUAACAC
rnacentral:rRNA from 1 species